rnacentral:rRNA from 1 species
CGUAGGGGGCAAGCGUUGUCCAGAAUCAUUGGGCGUAAAGCGCGUGUAGGCGGUCCGGUAAGUCGGCUGUGAAAGUCCAGGGCUCAACCCUGGGAUGCCGGUCGAUACUGCCGGACUAGAGUUCGGAAGAGGCGAGCGGAAUUCCCGGUGUAGCGGUGAAAUGCGCAGAUAUCGGGAGGAACACCAAUGGCGAAGGCAGCUCGCUGGGACGUUACUGACGCUGAGACGCGAAAGCGUGGGGAGCAAACAGGAUUAGAUACCCUGGUAGUCCACGCCGUAAACGAUGGGCACUAGGUGUGGGAGGUGUCGACUCCUCCCGUGCCGGAGCUAACGCAUUAAGUGCCCCGCCUGGGGAGUACGGCCGCAAGGCUA